rnacentral:lncRNA from 1 species
CUAUGGCAACAGUCGUUUUCGCCAGCGGGUUCGUUUUGUUCGAUGUGGUUCAGAAGAGGCUUCCUUUGAUGACACGUCACAACUGCUAUUGGCCAAACGACGUCAUUUUCUUGCUUCGCAAACUCAAGUGCACGUCAGAGAAACUCGUGGUCGAAUCAUCGAUUCUCAUUAGCCAGACUUAAGGCCAUUUGUCAGUGUCUUUCCUCUUCUUUCGUCUUGUUGAUGAUGGCCUUCCAUCGGAUGUCGACCUGGCUGCAUUUCCUUACGUCAGUUAUCCUCCAACGGACCAAAAAAAAAAAUACAGGCAGUGUGAUGCAACAGACAUAGAAUACGGAGGGACAAGUACAACUUUGCACAGACUGCCGUUCCAUACCGACCAGAGUUCCCUACAGUUUACUCACGGUGAUUGAAAAGUUAGAAGAUUGUGUGACUGUCCCAGUGUUAAAUGUGAAGUACGCUACAUGUUGUGUACACGCCUUCCACAUGGUAUACGUGUACAUCAGAUAGGACCGAUUCACGGCCUCUUGAAUUCUCGUUUCCCACCUCAAAAGGAGCUGACGUGAUACACAACAAGAGAGGUCGGUUGAUUUGGCCAAGAGGAUUGGCGCUUUGAUUGCGAUGAUGAGAACAGAGUUUGAAAAAAGUAGGUGAAGUAGGGGAUGUAAACAACAAUCGGAAAAAUUGACUGUACAAGGUUGGCUGCUCUUCAAGACAACCAUUUCGAUUCAGCUGUAUAUAAAUGUGGAGAAAGAAAAGAAACUUGACGAUGUUGAUGAAAGAAAAUAUUUCUAGUUGCUGCUGGCCACUGUUAUACCGAAGUUCGAUGUCAUCGCCUAUUCAAAUCUCUCACCUGCGCUACCCCAUUUUUUUUUUUUCCUCAGCCCCUCUGUCCUCUUCUUGACUGUUCAUUCUUAUCUUCUUCUUUUCUUAUUGUGUCCGAUAAGGUAUUCCCUCUUCCCUCAUCGUUGGUAUAAUCAUUUUCUUCUGUAAUGUCAGUCGCAGGAAUGGCAUCGAAGCAGCCCAUCCGCACGGCCGCUUAGUUUUCUCGCUACUUUGGAUGUAUAAUAGACACGAGGAGGUGGUAGAAUGACCGUCAUGUCGGAGCGCCUCAUCAUCAUCACGAUUGCACGAGGUGGCUGCAACCGUUGAUGCUGCAACAGCAGCUGAUGGUGCUUGCUCCCUUUAUGGAUUUUUUCCCCCCUCUUUUCAUCUUGUCCGUCUCCAUUUUCAUCCAUUUCCUGAACGUUGGUGGGGGGGUAAAAACGGAAUAGAAGCAAACAAACCAGAAGGAAUCAUGUGGCUGCUGCUGCCGGGCCGCCCUUAAAAGUAUCGCGUUUCUCAACUGUGCAUUGCAGGAGCGGCAGUCAAACCCAAAGCUCCUGGCCGUGUUGAUUUCUGGAUGAAGGCGUCGCUGUGCUGCUUUAUGCCAGCGGUCAGAGUAAUGCUUUAUCCUAAAAAACAGUAAACGCAACGGACGAAAGAGCGGCCGUUUUGAGUGAAAGUAAACGAUUGGAAAACAGGAAAACAAACCCCUCCCUCAAAGAAAUCCGUGUAUUGAUUGUGUAAAUAGUGGGAAGCGGCUCGUGUGAUGGCUGAAGAAAGAAAAAAAAACACAUACAUCGAGCAGAAGAACUAGAAAAAAAGGAAGAAAUAGUAUAUAUAGGCUACAGCUAAUAAUAAUAAUAAUGAUGGCGAUGAUAAAAAGAAAAGAAGGGGGUCGAGACGUGGACGAAUAAAUAAAAGAACGAAACGGAAAGAAAAAGAAGAAAUAAAGUGUUUAUAGUCGGUCGAAGAGGAAAUAAUAAGUGGUUAGCCAACGAGGACGGCCGAGAGAGAGAGAGAACGAACGAAACACGCGCGAUUUCAGCUUCGCUCCAAACGUUUGAUUGACCGGAGCAAAUGGCUUGAACAUAUAUAAUACACGGUCAUCCAUCGUGCGAAGGGUUUAUUUAUUUAUUUCUUUUUUCUUUUCUUUUAAUCGGCAUCGUUCUCUGUAAUAUUACAACGUUUCAGUUGCUUCUCUCUGAAUUCGUUUCUUGAGCUUAUUUAUGUUUGACAUUGAAUUUUUCUUAUAACUAAGUAGGGCUGUAUGAAUUUAGCUAAUAAAGGGACACAAUAAUAAUGUUUUUAACAAGUUUUGGCAAUUACCGCAAACGGUAAACGCUUAGAUGUAGAGGUGAACGCGGGAUAGAUGCAACAAACUCAACGAAUGACCGACAACGUUCCCCAAUCACCCAACAGGAUGGUAUAUGAGUAGACUAAGAAAAAUAGCAGAAGAAAUAAAAGUCUACACGUACACAAAACAGAGACAUAAGUGAGAAGAAAAAGGAAACCUCAAAAGUUGAUGGUGAAAACACGCGGUGGAUUGUACCGUCCGAAAGCAGAAAAACAAAACAAUAAAACAUGCGGCUGUUUGCUGUCCGCGUAUAACAAGUGCCCGCCAGUGCAUCGAUAAAAAUAGUCUACUGAAAAGAAAGGAAAAGAAUAGAAAAGUGCCCACACACAUCAGUUAUGUAAUACAACAACACAUAUUGUAUAUACUAUACACCAUAGAGAUGUGUACAGUAUAUUUGAAACUUGAAAACUCACCAACCGUCUCGAAAGCCUCAAAGCGAAGCAAAAAGGAAGGCGAGACAAAUAAAAACAAGCUCAAAAGAAGAAGACAAACGACAAUAACCCAACAAAAACAAAAUAAAGGAAAACAAAGUAGUCUUUUCUUUACCAACACACAACAAGGAAGAAAAGCAAAACUCAAUUCAAACAACAACAAAAAUGAAAGGGCGACCGUGCCUGGAACGGACUUUGAACGGAAGUCAUUUUCGCUUAUAUGCCAGGUGAGCUGCGCGCGCGGAGACUGUGAAAUAUUGUUACAGGUAACAGACAAGUAAGUAUACAGGCCGAACACGGACCUUCGGUCGGCUCGAACAAUUCUCUCUCCGCCCUCUUCCUAUCCACUUUCCUGCCAACACACACAAACACAUUUAACAUGCGUGCUUCAAAUCUUUUCCUGAUUCUGUUUUUCUUUUCAAAGAGCUUUCUCGUGUGUGUAUCCCACCUGACGUCCACACUCAUGACGCCAAUGUCUGUAUUGACUUUAUAAAUUUAUUCCGCCCGCACGCUCGCUGCUCCGCUGAUGAAUAAUGUGUUUUUUUUUAAAUGAAGGUGCCAUAGGAUAUGAUGAAACUGAUACCACUUUGUGUUUUGUUUUUUUUUUGUCGUCAAAAAGGUUUGCAAGAAACGCUUCGUUGAUCACCACACCCCAAGGUGUGUACCGACACGUGUCUUUAAUGAAGGACAUUAGGGAAAACGAGAUUUUGGUAACCCUUACCCCGAUUUCUAUACCUUUUUUCCCAAACUCUUUUUUUUUCAGAGGGUUUAGUGUGGAAGUAAAUUGCGUUUCACUUCUCCUGAAUUUUGAAAAGGAAGGGUACGAAAUGGAAGACACAUUCCAUUUGCUUCUUCUGCAUUUUCCCACUGUUUUCCAUAAUUUUCUUUGUUGCUAAGGUCUUGACCAAGGCAGUUGUCGUCUGGAUCUCGUUCAGACAUGAAACGUUUGUCCCUUUUUACCUGUGCAUGUGUGUGUGAUUGUUACGUCGUGUCAGCGUGGACGUGUCCAGACCAAUUGAUCGCAACCUUUACUUACCUGUCCUGCCCUUAGCUGUCCUGCCUUACCUGCAAUUAGAAAAAAGGAGGAUAUACAUUUUUUUCCUGAUUAUAUCGUUCAAGAAAAUCAGUUGCAUACACAUAGAAAACUUUAGAAAAAGUUGUAUAGAAAAGUUUUCAAUGGUGUGGUAUUUACUAGUGCUCUACCAACCGUCAUUAUAUGAACGCAAACAAGGACCAAACUCCAUUUCCAUCUCGGCAUCAAAAGUUUGAAUUUCAAGAGAAGCAGAAAAGGCUGAUUAAUAAGAGCCAGACAUAAAAAAUAAAAACAGAUCGUGAGUCCUACAACAACAACAAGUUUGCCUAGAAUUUGCGUACAACAAAUGAUUACCAUAAAGCAACACAACGGAUAGCCGCCAUCAUCUCCAACCUCACGAUCACAUUCGUGCAACAUCGAGCGCAAUUUUCUCCCGAAAGUGAUGAAUUCAGCUUGUCUUUGAAACUUGAGAAAAGAAGGGGUGCUUCUGUUGCUCUCUGAGUUAUAUUCCCUGUCCCCCCCACCCUUCUUUUUUCUACAUGGGUGAUUUCCUUCAUGUUAUAUAGGUCUAUAUAUAUACGUAGUAUGUAGUCAAGCAGUCAACCGAGAAUGCAAAACAAGCCACGACAAGGUGAUCCUUUCCUGCUUUUCAGUCCUUUUUUAAAUUGAAAAUUCAUGGCAUCGCGUGAGUGGAGGCCUCCAAAAGCCCAUGCGACUGUAAAAAAAGGAAAUAAACUCUCUCGAAAAAGAAAAAAAAAGGAGCGAGUAAUAUAAAAAACUGAAGAACGACUGAAUCUCAAGUCUAUAGCUGAAUAUAAUGCUAGCCAGCACCCUUCAUGUAUUACGUAACACGUUCUCCCCCAGACAAAAACACGAAUUUCUCGGGAGAUGUCUGAUCUUUUAGUUCCUUUCCCUCACGACCCGCCAAUCACGCAGUGAUCUGAUCCUGUCCAGCCAGCCACCAAAAACAACUACACAAAAACGCCCCAUGUGCGUGAUGGAAGAACAAGUGGGCGGAAUAAGCUCCGAAACGGAGAGAAACUAACCCGUCUCAUCUUUUCGACAGGAGUUUAGAUGCCGGCCUUACACUGGCCCGUCGCCAAAGUGAUGGUUAAAUGGCCGGAAAACCGGUCGGCAGAAACUGAUUAUUAAAAAAAAAACGUAUAUACAGUCUAUAUACUUUAAAUAGGUAAACGAGAAUUUCUCGCCCAGUUAGAAAGUACAUCACCCAAGAUUGCAAUAACUUUUACUUUGCAUCGUCUUUCGCUCUCUGUGCUUAUUAAAUGUGGUUGCCCGUUCCAGAUUGGGCGUCUAAAUUGGGUAUGGCUGAAAACUCGUGUGCCAUGUAACCGGCCUGUUUCUCUUGUUUCCUUCCAUUGUAUAGCCACUAAUGUUACAUUCGAACCCGAAUUUUCAACAAUAUUUUUCCUUUCUCCCCAACACUCCACGAGUCCACAUGUGCCGUUUCGAAACGAUUGACGUCUCUCCUGCUGUUGUUAAUUCUAUCCCCCUCAUUCUUCAACUCGACAGAGUGUUUCACACCCACCACGCCUACUUUGUCAAAUGUUCCAUACCAUUUUCUUGUGCUUCAACAAAAAAUCUAUCAUUCUCUGAUUCAUUUUCUCUUUUGUGUUUCUUCUAUUUUUGUGUUAUGGGUUGGAUGAAAAAUCUGGUCAAAUUGCAGACGAAAUCGAACUAUUCUUUUGACUUUUGCAAUUCACAUUUUUGCUCGACUAGGUGUCACCACAUGUGGUACGCAGUAGGUUAAUGCACCUAGACCUAUCGUAUUGUUAUAACGAAAUGGUUUCGUCUAUGCUGGGCGCUAUUUAUGGCUUAUUCAUUUUGUAUAGGAUAGAGGAGAAAAAUUCAUGGAGAAAAUUUGUCAACGCUCCAUGUCCCUUCUUUUUCUCUCUUAAAAAAUCUGUUGGAAGUUGUUGGAGCAAUGUGGCAUGGGGUUCUCUGCUGGAUACAUAAUCAAUCUCUUUACUCCACAGAGCCGGACGCUGAGUAAUUUUAAGAAAUUGAGCCAAUGACGUGAUCAAGAAGAAGAAACAAAAAAUUAUAAAAGAGAAACGUUAAAUCUCUUUCACAAACAGCCACAAACGUCUCAUUUCCAUAAGCUUUGGCGAGAGUUUAUCAAGUUGAAAGCUUUUUUCAUUUUCGUAUUACAUAGUACUCACACAGACAAGGCCGUUAGAGCAAGACUUAAAUUGCUGCACGCAGCAGGAGGUCCGUUUGAUUUUUCCAACGUCAAGAAUAAAAAAAAAGAUGAAACAAGAACCAGAUGUUUUUCGUUCUUUUUUUAAAUCUUCAUCACAUAUCUCCAUUUUUUUUUCCUUUUUCUUGUUACUAGUACUACCACAAUUAGACACUGGCUGACUUCAUUACAUGUUUUGCCAGAGCUCAUUUGGAGGGGAGAAUUUCAUCGCUGGUCUGAAAGUUUCUCAAGAGACUCUAUGAUGAAAAGAAAAAGUUUGGGUGUUUUGGGCCGAAAAGAAAAGGGUGGCUUCUGUAAUAAAGCGCCACCAUGGAGAUCCGGCGUUGUCCUUCAGCACAGCGUUGACUUUUUUUGUUUAUCUGAAUCUGGGCAACAUACAAAUAAAAUAUGGUGAAGUGAUUGAUUUAAUCUCCUUUCACCCAUUUGAAAAGAAAAAAAAAUCUAAUUGUUUAAAGUCAUUAGCAAAUCUUAUGUAAAUUCUUUACCAGUAGGAGAGGUUGCCAAUUUUUCUACAUUUCAUCACCCCUUCUCCACAUUUUCUUUUUAGAUUAGCAUGUUUUUCUUUUUGUUCGAUUCGACAGUGUUUCUAAAGAGGGGGGGACUACCUUUCUCAAGGUUAGUAGGUCAGUGUCUUUGCUUGUUCUGCGUUGUUCAGUUGAUUUCUCGAUUGCAUAGUGACAGGCCAUAUUUUUUCCCCCUCGUCUCGUGCAUUCAUCGACAGUGUACAACGUGGCCUUAACACACCAACAAUAGUUAAACAGUGAAAACAAACUUGUUUCCAACAAAAGGCCAACACUUCAUCCAUGGCUGCGAGAGUCUCCAGGAAGCUGUUGCUUGCUGUUUACCUGAUGGAAACAAUAAUCUUAUUAAAGGUGCGUGUUGUGAUGACGCUGGCGACGUUGCGGGAAUUUCGCUGCGCGCCUGGCGGGGGCUUUGCAUCCUCUGCUGCGCGUCACUAAGAAAUAGCAGUCCGGUUUUUUCACCUCUAUGCAUCUUAGGAGUACGUCAGAUUACACGGAAAUCUGUCGCCACGACACCCCUGAAAUAGCUCGGGACUCCCGCCGAGCCAAAGAAGUUGUGUCAUUGGAACCCCCUGGCAACAACAACAGCAACAACAUUGGCCACAACACACAUAAACGUGCCACAUAGAAACAGGAAAGAAGAAGACGAUCGCAACUUUGUGGAAGGACGGCUAAAACGGUUGUCGAUCUUCACGAACAGGCCAUCAAUUUUGCACAGUAAAAAUCAAUUGUCUGUAACUGGUGUACUGACAUUUGACUAAACUGGUUUUAAGGAGAUAAUAAAAGAUAAAAUCUUGUCCUUGGCCGUGAUUAAUUCUUGGAAGUAAUCUCAGGGAAAUUACAGUGGAACUCGUGAUUUAUGAUGCUGGUCCUUGUAAAAGAUUGGGCAUUGCGGAUUUUGUGCCCAAAAUGGAAGCGAUGAUUGGAAAAAAAGCUACUCCAACUGAAUAUAUCAAAGACUUUUUAAUAAGAAGCGUCAUCCCUAUAUUUAAAUUGGCGCACAUUUAGGAUAUGUCAACCGAAUUUCAAAGAACGGCUAAAGUUUUCUGAAUGUAACUGGGUAAAAGGUCCCUCUUUUCCCAGGGCAAGCAUCUUCAUCAUCAACUGCCGACAUGUUUAGAAAGAAAAAAAAUCAAACGAAAGAACUCGCUAACAGAUCAUCCUUCUCCGGGAUUGUAAAUGGUGGUUGAACGAUGGAGCAGAGGAAAAAGAAAUAGUCAGGCGGGAAAUUCGAAAAUGUAUUUCAAGACGUCACCCUUUGCCCCAAAAUCUCUCUGCAUUCUCGUCGGGAAGAAGCACAAAUGCUUGACACAGGUAUGCUUUGUAAGAUCUCCAUAGAAAAAAGAAAAAUUUAAAAACGAAAUUCAAGACGAGACAUUUGACCGUUCAAGCUUCAAGUACCUCAAACACAUGCGUUGCAUACAUGCGCUGUGCCAUUCGAGCCUUGUGUUUGUAUUGCGUAGUGUCAAGUGUCGAGACGAAAAAAGAAGAAAAAUCCAAGUUGAUUAAAAAAACUACCACUCAACCUGUCUCACAAUCCUCGUCUUCUUUUCUCCGAGGGAUAUGAAGAAGAGUGAGUGUAGCGAAUGAAACGGUGGCUGGUAAAACCUACUCCAUCUCAUGCUGCGUUUAUGUGAUACACUGAUACAGCACUAUUACUAAAAGCACUAAAGUACAUUCUGAGCCUCGAUCUCCUAUUCUCGUAUUGUUUAGUUUUUCUUCGGGUGGCACUGAAGUUUUGGCAGCUGUGCAUCAACGUGAAGUUUCUACCGCGCUCCCCCUCUCUCUCUUUUCUCGCUCCAUCUAAAUUAACAUUUUUCUUCUUUAUGCACGUCUCUUUCGUUGAAUUGAACUUAUUUCAGCAAUGUAUUUUUUAUUUUCCUUGUACUUCCCAGCGGCUUUUCUUAUGCUAACUAUUGAUAUGUCUUAACAGGCUUGUGCUAUAAGAAAGGAAACUACGAAGACCAGGCGCGUGCUCUCAGGAAGGAAAUGGGCCAGCACGAAAUUCGAAUUGGAUGCGUUAUCGCCCCUGGUAUGUAACAACCAAUCACGAUCUGUUUUAAUUCUUUAGAGCUAUACAUGUUUUCAAUUUAUUUUUGUUUUCCUUUCACCUUCGAUUGUUGGUAUCCUUCCUCCAGUUCUUUGUAGAUCCUGAGAAUCGAUGAAACGUUCCCGAUAAAGAACGGUUAAAAAACACAUUCCUUUUUCUUCUUGUUAAAAAUGUUGCCAUGUAAAUUCUAUAUUAUGCCUAUCUUGGCAUAGACACUGCGGCUGUUUUUCACUUUCGUUGUCGUCUGUGACGCCAACAGCGUAGAAUUUACUUCCUACUCUUCCUUUUGUCUUUUCAUCGUAGAAAGCUAUGUGCUUAUUUCACCUCAGUUGUAAACGGGAUAGCCUAAUAUGUCGGUUGCUCAUUACAGUGCAAUCAAGAGCAAAGCGUCGUAGCUCGUUGCCAUUUGACGUAUCCUCUUUGAUCGAAAGAAAUUGUUGGUGUCAACGCCAGAGUUUGUCAAGAAGGCAAGUGGGAAGUACGGAAUCGAUUUCUACGAGGAAAUAUGGAAAGUGGGGUUCGCUCUUUAAAAGCUAGAGAGGGAAGUCAAAAGACAGCGGAACAAUUAUUAAUCGUGUUGUAGGGAAAUGUGGGCGGUUUCUUUUGGCGAAGGUCGGUGAUAAUCCAAGUCUUUUUGGGAAACUUUAGUGCACAGGCUUCGCUGGCGCGGUGGUGUCUGUUCGGGCCAUUAGCUCGUAAUGACGAGCACAUUAGGACAAUGUCUGGCGUGUCACGCGGAUGGAACUCAAUAACGUUUCAGCCAGUCCCUCCUCUUGCCUUUUUCAUGCUAUCCCUAUAAAUCACGCGGUAAGAGAGCGUCAGCCCAGCAACUGCAAAAGGGGAAAAAAGAUGGAAUGUAAGAAGGGUAUUUAAUGAGUCUUAAAGUGAGCACUGAUGAGAAAGAAUAUUCCGUAAUUUAUUUUGAAAAAAACGUUUUCUGCGUUUGGGUCUGAGUACUUUUCUCAUUUUGCGUGUUGUUCUACAAUUAUCCGUGUUAUUUAAACAAGCUUAUAUUGAACGGUUCGUGAGAUAGGGCCUCAAAUGCUGCGUACAGAAAUCUCACACGUCACAAGCCCGUAAAUAUACUCAUAUUCAUAUGCGCUUUCUCUUCCAUUUUAGAAAAAAAAAUAAAAAUAUAGUGGAUUUUCAAAAACAUGAAAUGACUCAUUUCAUGUUUUUAAUAACAAAAUAGUCAUUUGAAAUGACUAUUUUGGGGGGGCUUGGAAAUGGGAGUUAUUUCUUUUCAAAUGGCAACGCUGCAUUUGUCGUCUGCAGUGCGUCCUGUCAUUGAAUUCUGCCACGUAUUUCCCCGUUAGGACAGAUAACCCCUGACAGAUCGUUGAUAUCACACAUAAAAGAUUUAAAGAAAAUGAUUACGGAUAUUCAGUUGGCCAUCUUUUCGAACGUUUUAGGAGUGUCACUCUUCCUGAUGGUGAUACUCUAUCACUAUAUCUCCGCUAAUAAUCCUAAAUCUGCAUCUU